AUUGAACGCUGGCGGCAUGCUUUACACAUGCAAGUCGAACGGUAACAGGCCUUCGGGCGCUGACGAGUGGCGAACGGGUGAGUAAUGCAUCGGAACGUGCCCAGUCGUGGGGGAUAACGCAGCGAAAGCUGCGCUAAUACCGCAUACGAUCUGUGGAUGAAAGCGGGGGACCGUAAGGCCUCGCGCGAUUGGAGCGGCCGAUGUCAGAUUAGGUAGUUGGUGGGGUAAAGGCUCACCAAGCCAACGAUCUGUAGCUGGUCUGAGAGGACGACCAGCCACACUGGGACUGAGACACGGCCCAGACUCCUACGGGAGGCAGCAGUGGGGAAUUUUGGACAAUGGGGCAACCCUGAUCCAGCAAUGCCGCGUGCAGGAAGAAGGCCUUCGGUUGUAAACUGCUUUGUACGGAACGAAAAGGCUCUGGCUAAUACCUGGGGCACAUGACGGUACCGUAAGAAUAAGCACCGGCUAACUACGUGCCAGCAGCCGCGGUAAUACGUAGGGUGCAAGCGUUAAUCGGAAUUACUGGGCGUAAAGCGUGCGCAGGCGGUGCUGUAAGACAGGCGUGAAAAUCCCCGGGCUCAACCUGGGAAUUGCGCUUGUGACUGCAGUGCUGGCAGUGCGGCAGAGGGGGAUGGAAUUCCGCGUGUAGCAGUGAAAUGCGUAGAUAUGCGGAGGAACACCGAUGGCGAAGGCAAUCCCCUGGGCCUGCACUGACGCUCAUGCACGAAAAGCGUGGGGGAGCAAAACAGGAUU
rnacentral:rRNA from 1 species